rnacentral:rRNA from 1 species
UACGAGGGGGGCGAGCGUUGUUCGGAAUUAUUGGGCGUAAAGGGUGCGUAGGCGGUUCCGCAAGUCCUGUGUGAAAUCUUCGGGCUCAACUCGAAGUCUGCACGGGAAACUGCGGGGCUUGAGUGUGGGAGAGGUGAGUGGAAUUCCCGGUGUAGCGGUGAAAUGCGUAGAGACCCGGAGGAACACCGGUGGCGAAGGCGGCUUCCUGGUCUGCAACUGACGCUGUGGCGCGAAAGCUAGGGGAGCAAACGGG